rnacentral:rRNA from 1 species
AAUCAACGCUGGCGGCGUGCCUAACACAUGCAAGUCGAACGCGAGAGGGGGCUUCGGCCCCGAUUGAGUGGCGAACGGGUGAGUAACGCGUGGGUGACCUACCUUCGAGUGGGGGAUAACGUCCCGAAAGGGACGCUAAUACCGCAUAACAUCCUGCUUUUGAAUGGGUGGAGAUCAAAGCCGGGGAUCGCAAGACCUGGCGCUU